rnacentral:tRNA from 1 species
GCGCCAGUAGCUCAGUGGUAGAGCACCACCCUUAUAAGGUGGCCGUCGAUGGUCCGAAUCCAUCCUGGCGCA